GUGCCAGCAGCCGCGGUAAUACCGGCAGCUCAAGUGGUCGUCGCUUUUAUUGGGCCUAAAACGUCCGUAGCCUGUUUGGUAAAUCUGUGGGUAAAUCAACGAGCUUAACUCGUUGAAUUCUGCAGAGACUGCCAGACUAGGGACCGGGAGAGGUAUGAGGUACUCUGGGGGUAGGGGUAAAAUCCUGUCAUCCUCAGAGGACCACCUGUUGCGAAGGCGUCAUACUGGAACAGAUCCGACGGUCAGGGACGAAGCCUAGGGGCACGAACCGGAUUAGAUACCCGGGUAGUCCUAGGUGUAAACGCUGUGGAUUUGGUGUGUGGGGUCCGCAAUGGGCCCCAUGUGCCGGAGUGAAGAUGUUAAAUCCACUGCCUGGGGAGUACGGUCGCAAGGCUGAAACUUAAAGGAAUUGGCGGGGGAGCACUGCAACGGGAGGAUUGUGCGGUUUAAUUGGAUUCAACGCCGGAAAACUCACCAUGACCGACGGACACAUGAAAGCCAGUGUAAUGAGCUUGCUGGAUUGUUCGAGAGGUAUUGCAUGGCCGUCGUCAGUUCGUACCGUAAGGCGUUCUGUUAAGUCAGAUAACGAACGAGACCCUCAUCCCUAUUUGCCAAGGUCUGUCCGCAGAUCACGGGACUAUAGGGAGACCGCUGGCGCUAAGUCAGAGGAAGGCGAGGGCAACGGUAGGUCAGUAUGAUCCGAAUGUCAUGGGCUACACGCGCAAUACAAAGGACGGGACAAUGGGCUGCAACUCCGAGAGGAACGACGCUAACCCAAAACCCGUUCGUAGUUCGGAUUGAGGGCUGUAAUUCGCCCUCAUGAAGCUGGAUUAGGUAGUAAUCGCGUCACAAUAGGGCGCGGUGAAUAUGCCCCUGCUCCUUGCACACACCGCCCGUC
rnacentral:rRNA from 1 species